UCUACGGGAGGCAGCAGUGGGGAAUAUUGCACAAUGGGGGGAACCCUGAUGCAGCGACGCCGCGUGAGUGAAGAAGGUUUUCGGAUCGUAAAACUCUGUCCUAGGUGAAGAAAGAAAUGACGGUAGCCAAGGAGGAAGCCCCGGCUAACUACGUGCCAGCAGCCGCGGUAAUA
rnacentral:rRNA from 1 species